GCCUAAGUAGAAGCACUUGUACUGUGAAACUGCGAAUGGCUCAUUAUAUCAUUUAUCGUUUAUUUGAUUGUACCUUUACCACUUGAAUAACCGUGGUAAUUCUACAGCUAAUACAUGCUAAAAGUCCAGACUUUGGGAUGUACAGUAUUUAUUAGAUUCAAAACCAAUGCGGGUUCAUAAUAAUGGAAUUCCUGGGUAAACACAUUGACCACGGAAACUAUUUGGUCCAUCAUGUCAUACAUAAUGAG
rnacentral:ncRNA from 1 species